rnacentral:rRNA from 1 species
CUCGAGGUAUCUGCUUGGGACUCCCUCCUCCAAGACAUCGCCCUUAUGCCGAUGAACGUCGAGGAGGACCUGGAUGCCCUUUCCUGGCACCUUGAGCCAUCUGGCCGCUUCUCCACGAAGUCCUUGUACGCCGCCAUUGCGCCCUCGGCGGCUCCGGAGCCCUUUAGCCUGAUCUGGGACAUCCGCCUACCUCUGAAGAUCAGGAUUUUCCUUUGGCAAUGGAUCCAUGGACGCCUCCCCUCUGGGGUUGAAGUCCUCAAGCGUAACGGCCCGGGCGAUGGGAUGUGUUCCAUCUGUGGCACGAUCGAGGAUGCUAACCACAUCUUCUUCUCGUGCUCUACUGCCCAGUUCCUGUGGGCUUGCUUCCGCGAAACGGUCGGUGGACGGUGGUGCAAUACCAACUUCCCCGACUUACUUGUGGAGCUCAGCGCUUCCCCUACCCGCUACCGCCAUAUUAGAUGGCUGUGCGUUGGGGUUCUCGCCUGGACGCUUUGGAACAUUCACAAUAAGCGUGUUAUUCAGAAGGUGCCUCUCCGACGUGCGACUGACCCAAUCUUCAAAAUGUGUGGUUACUUGCAGCUUUGGAGGCCGCUUAGCCGCCCUCAGGACAGGGAUGUCAUCACCACCCUCCUCACCGACCUCCGCUCGAUGGCGCUCCACGUGGCACCCCUGCUGCCGCCCCCUCCCCCAGAGCCGGACUAG